UGCCCCGUCGUCUAAUGGUAAGACAGCGGACUCUGACUCCGCUAAUCGAGGUUCGAAUCCUCGCGGGGCAUCCA
rnacentral:tRNA from 1 species